UACGUAGGGAGCGAGCGUUAAUCGGAAUUACUGGGCGUAAAGCGUGCGCAGGCGGCGCGUUAAGACAGGUGUGAAAGCCCCGAGCUUAACUUGGGAAUUGCGCUUGUGACUGGCGUGCUGGAGUGUGGCAGAGGGAGGUGGAAUUCCACGUGUAGCAGUGAAAUGCGUAGAGAUGUGGAGGAACACCGAUGGCGAAGGCAGCCUCCUGGGCCAGCACUGACGCUCAUGCACGAAAGCGUGGGGAGCAAACAGG
rnacentral:rRNA from 1 species